CAUCAUCGAAUAAAUAUACAAUUAGACUUUUGAAGACGUCCAAAUAACUAGGGGUGUUACAUUCUUCCCUCCUUAUAUGACAUUCAUCCUUGAAUGUCGAAUCUACAUGAUACAUAUCUAAAAGGGAACCUUAGACCUUGUUCUACAUUUUUUUUUAAUUAAUUUCGCCCAUUAGGCAUUUUAUUCAAUGAAAAUGGUCCAAAAAUGGUCCCUUAUUACAGUGCAAAAAUAAAAGAACAAAAAAGGAAAGUAAUUACAUUUUGUCCAGUUACUAUUUGUUGCUCUAUAUUCUCGAUUCUUCUUUUCUCUCUUCAGUACUCUCUCUCUAUCUCUCGAGACUCUGAUCGCCGCCGACAUAGAUAUGAUGAUUGGAGCUCCGAUUUGCAUCAAAGAGAUGUUGUUGAUGACAAAUAUCUGAUCUAUGUUCUCGGUGGUCGAUGAAGAAAUAAUUUUCCACACACAUGUACCAAUUUUCAGCUCUUUGAUCUUCCUUUAUGUCUCGCCUUUCUGAUCUGUAGCUUCUUUUGACCUUGUAUGAGCUGAAUCUAAGUAUCUUGAGGUCAAUGUGCCCCAUUCCCAUCAUUUUCUGGCCUUUAAAGCUCAUGUUGAUUGAUAAGAUCUCCAUUUGUAUCCGGUGUGGUUCCAUCAACAUCUUUCUUUUGAAAUCUCUGCUUUUUAAUGUCCUCAUCCUAUUAAACGUACUUGUUCUUGUCUUGUAUGUGCUAAGUCCACUUUCUUGAAGAAAACUCGCCUUCUCCAUGGAUCUACUCUGUUCUUGAGCUCUUCACCAGGUCAACAGGUAUACGGACCAGAUUCCUAGCGCCCUAUCAGCAGCAUUCGACAGCGCUCCAGUUGUUCCGGAGCCUUAUAUCAUCGGUACUAUUUUGUGUAUGUAUUUUCGGGCGCGACAGUACUCGGCCCUUCCUCUGUAUAAAUGUACUAUGUCUAGAGGCUCGUAGACAGAUAUACACAGUCAGUUAUGUACAGUUUAAUGUAUUGUAUUCUGAAUGGUUCGCGCUCCGGUGUGACGCGAUAUUAGAAAGAUUACUGCUAAUGUUAAUGUUUAAAAAAAAAAUAUGGCACUGUUUAUACAGGAUAGCUAAGGGGUGCUCGGUACAAGUAUCGGGUACUCGUCACGGCCCCUAGUCGGGUCGUGACAGGCUUGUAGAUGCGCAGUGUGGGUAAAUGGUCUCACAAGAGGCUUUUAUGUAUAUGUAUAUAUUAAUUAGAUGGCCGAGAGGCUUAUGUAUAUAAAAGUAUUUUUAUGUUCUCAAAUGAAAA